UGCAACAAAACAAAACGUUUGUUUUCCCUUUCAGCAAAACUUAAUUAGUCCUCAGUGUGUAGACAAACCACCCUAAGCCCAGUCACAGGAAUUUGAUGAUCAACAGACUGUACUGUCCACUUUGUACAAGCUGAGAUGUUUCUUGGUCAUGACUUCUGAGGACUUACAGCCUUCCCGGGCUCCCAAGAUCCAAGGAUGCCCUCUUACCUUGUCUUGAAGCAUCUAAAGGAAAACUGGAAAGAGCAGUGAUACAUGAACAAUUCCCAGCUUUCCCAGCAGGAAGAUUGGCCUCUUUACGUUGGAAGACCUCUGGCUGUGGUGUUUGCAUUUCAGAGCCUUUCCACCUGUUUUGGAUAAGCUGGGUGAAAUUGCUCAGCAAGCAAGAUGACUUUGACAAAACUAAAUCUUUUGGCCAAUGUCCAUCAGAAGAUGAGAGGAGAGAGGAACGGGGCAGAAGUUCACAUUCAAGAAGGUAAAGUACUUGAAUGUCCUGAUGGCAUGUUCUUCUUCUGUCUUUAACUUACCUGCUUAUAAUAAUGACAAAAUUGUUGGGCUCUUCAGAUAAAAAUCUGUUCCAAGCUCUUGGAAAGAACCUGUUUUUAUCACUAUAAUUGCUUCCAGUGGGACUAAGCUUUAGUAAAGGUAAGUCUUCACAUCACCAGGGAUUAAUUAGGACAAAGUGCAAAGGAAAGAGAAGUAGAAUGAAAAUUGUUCUGAUUAUUCUUAACCCUGUAUUAUCUAAGGAGGAAUUUUUUUUUUUGGUUAGCUAUCAUAUUUCCAAAUGUAGGUGGACUAUCCUGUGUCCAAGCUCUGAGUGAGAAGAAAUAGGAAAACACUGCCGUAAAGAACCAGAAAAACAGCAUAGUUUUUGUGAGAAAUCUCAGCCAUUUCACUUUUAUUGGGAUCAU
rnacentral:lncRNA from 1 species